GACGAACGCUGGCGGCGUGCCUAAUACAUGCAAGUAGAACGCUGAAGCGAGGAGCUUGCUCUUCUUGGAUGAGUUACGAACGGGUGAGUAACGCGUAGGUAACCUGCCUUUUAGCGGGGGAUAACUUUUGGAAACGAUAGCUAAUACCGCAUAACAAUAGGUGACACAUGUCAUUUAUUUGAAAGGCGCAAUUGCUCCACUACAAAAUGGACCUCCCUUGUAUUUACUAGUAGGGUAGGUAACGGCUCACCUAAGGGAAGAUACAUAGCCGGCCCGGGAGGGGGAACGGCCACAAUGGGACUGAGACAAGGGCCAGGAUCCUAAGGGAGGCAGCAGUAGGGAAUCUUUGGCAAAGGGGGCAACGCUGGACGAGCAAAGGCGGGUGGGUGAAGAAGGGUUUCGGAUCGUAAAGAUCUGUUGUAAGUCAAGAACGAGUGGGAGAGGGAAAAGUGCACACUGUGACGGUAGCUUACCAGAAAGGGACGGCUAACUACGUG
rnacentral:rRNA from 1 species